rnacentral:rRNA from 1 species
AUUGAACGCUGGCGGCAGGCCUAACACAUGCAAGUCGAGCGAGUGGCGGACGGGUGAGUAAUGUCUGGGAAACUGCCCGAUGGAGGGGGAUAACUACUGGAAACGGUAGCUAAUACCGCAUACCAUCGGAUGAGCCCAGAUGGGAUUAGCUAGUAGGUGGGGUAACGGCUCACCUGGGCGACGAUCCCUAGCUGGGCUGAGAGGAUGACCAGCCACACUUGAAUGGAGACACGGCCCAGACUCCUACGGGAGGCAGCAGUGGGGAAUAUUGCGCAAUGGGCGCAACCCUGACGCAGCCAUGCCGCGUGUAUGAAGAAGGCCUUCGGGUUGUAAAGUACUUUCGGUGAGGAGGCGUUACUCGCAGAAGAAGCACCGGCUAACUCCGUGCCAGCAGCCGCGGUAAUUC